GGGUUUAUUUCUGGGCUUUCUCUCCUCUUCCAUUGAUCUAUAUGUCCUCUUUUUAAUGCCAGUACCAUACAGUGUUGAUGACUGUUGCUUUGUAGUAUAGUCUGAAGUCAGGGAGCCUGAUUCCUCCAGCUCCGUUUUUCUUUCUCAAGAUUGCUU